rnacentral:lncRNA from 1 species
UGAGACUGUCAAGGUGGCGGGCCAGCCGAGCUCCGUGUGACAGCCCUGGCCCCUGAGUAUCUUCUGCUCUCUCCUGGAGUCUUCCAAGAGACAAGAUAAACUGGAUCUGCGGACAGAGGCCGGGAGAAAGGGGACGUCCAUCCGCAGUUCCCCAUGCCUCAGAUGGCUGGCUGGAUGGGUGCCUCUUGGUGAUUCCAGGUCCUGCAGUAGGGAUCUGGACCCG